GGAGGAUUAAGCCUAAUUGGUAAGGCAAUAGUCUUGAAAACUAUUAGUAAUCAAUAAAAUGAUGUGUGAGUUCGAGUCUCACAUCCUCCU
rnacentral:tRNA from 1 species